rnacentral:rRNA from 1 species
GCAUAUCAAUAAGCGGAGGAAAAAGAAACCAACAGGGAUUGCCCUAGUAACGGCGAGUGAAGCGGCAAUAGCUCAAAUUUGAAAUCUGGCUUCCUUGGAAGUCCGAGUUGUAAUUUGCAGAGGGCGCUUUGGCGUCGGUAGCGGUCUAAGUUCCUUGGAACAGGACGUCACAGAGGGUGAGAAUCCCGUACGUGGUCGACUACCUUCGCCGUGUAAAGCCCCUUCGACGAGUCGAGUUGUUUGGGAAUGCAGCUCUAAAUGGGAGGUAAAUUUCUUCUAAAGCUAAAUACUGGCCAGAGACCGAUAGCGCACAAGUAGAGUGAUCGAAAGAUGAAAAGCACUUUGGAAAGAGAGUCAAACAGCACGUGAAAUUGUUGAAAGGGAAGCGCUUGCCGCCAGACGUGCCCGUGGUGGUUCUCCUCCGCGGGCAGGCCAGCAUCAGUUUGGGCGAUCGGAUAAAGGCCUCUGUCAUGUAUCUCCCUCCGGGGUGACCUUAUAGGGGAGGCGUAAUGCGAUCAGUCCGGACUGAGGUCCGCGCAUCUGCUAGGAUGCUGGCGUAAUGGCUGUAAGCGGCCCGUCUUGAAACACGGACCAAGGAGUCUAACAUCUAUGCGAGUGUUUGGGUGUCAAGCCCGAGCGCGUAAUGAAAGUGAACGGAGGUGGGAACCCUUUGGGUGCACCAUCGACCGAUCCUGAAGUCUUCGGAUGGAUUUGAGUAAGAGCAUGGCUGUUGGGACCCGAAAGAUGGUGAACUAUGCUUGAAUAGGGUGAAGCCAGAGGAAACUCUGGUGGAGGCUCGCAGCGGUUCUGACGUGCAAAUCGAUCGUCAAAUUUGGGCAUAGGGGCGAAAGACUAAUCGAACUAUCUAGUAGCUGGUUCCUGCCGAA